AUGAGAUGAAGACAAGAAAAAGCGACUCGCAGCUUUGGCAGAAAAACGUGUAAAGUAAAUUUGGAAUGCAAUGUCAAAAUUCGUUCGUUGAAGUUUGGUGAAGAAGCCAUUAUCAAUGAAAUUGAAAGCGAUGUAGCAAUGUCUGUU